rnacentral:rRNA from 1 species
GUGGGGAAUUUUGGACAAUGGGCGAAAGCCUGAUCCAGCCAUGCCGCGUGCAGGAUGAAGGCCUUCGGGUUGUAAACUGCUUUUGUACGGAACGAAAAGACUCUGGUUAAUACCUGGGGUCCAUGACGGUACCGUAAGAAUAAGCACCGGCUAACUACGUGCCAGCAGCCGCGGUAAUACGUAGGGUGCAAGCGUUAAUCGGAAUUACUGGGCGUAAAGCGUGCGCAGGCGGUUAUAUAAGACAGAUGUGAAAUCCCCGGGCUCAACCUGGGAACUGCAGUUGUGACUGUAUAGCUAGAGUACGGCAGAGGGGGAUGGAAUUCCGCGUGUAGCAGUGAAAUGCGUAGAUAUGCGGAAGAACACCGAUGGCGAAGGCAAUCCCCUGGGCCUGUACUGACGCUCAUGCACGAAAGCGUGGGGAGCAAACAGGAUUAGAAACCCCUGUAGUCC